GACGAACGCUGGCGGCGUGCUUAACACAUGCAAGUCGAACGGGUCUGCCCUGUUUUUUGCGGGGUGGGUCAGUGGCGAACGGGUGAGUAACACGUGAGUAACCUGCCCCUCACUUCUGGAUAACCGCUUGAAAGGGUGGCUAAUACGGGGUGUUCUGGCUGUGCCGCAUGGUGUGGCUGGGAAAGAUUCACUUUUGUGGUGUUUUGGUGGGGGAUGGGCUCGCGGCCUAUCAGCUUGUUGGUGGGGUGAUGGCCUGCCAAGGCUUUGACGGGUUGCCGGCCUGAGAGGGUGGGCGGUCACACUGGGACUGAGAUACGGCCCAGACUCCUGCGGGAGGCAGCAGUGGGGGGUAUUGCACAAUGGGCGGAAGCCUGAUGCAGCGACGUCGCGUGAGGGAUGGAGGCCUUCGGGUUGUGAACCUCUUUCGCCGGUGAAGAAGGUCCUGCUCUUUGUGGUGGGGUUGACGGUAGCCGGGUUAUGAAGCGCCGGCUAACUACGUG
rnacentral:rRNA from 1 species